UCAGACGAUGCGUCAUGCAUAUCAAUAAGCGGAGGAAAAGAAACUAACAAGGAUUCCCUUAGUAACGGCGAGUGAAGCGGGAAGAGCUCAAAUUUGAAAUCUUCAAGGUUUUACCUUGACGAAUUGUAGUUUAAAGAAGUGUUCUCUGUUGAAGUUUUGGUAAAAGUUCUUUGGAAUAGGACAUCAUAGAGGGUGAGAAUCCCGUAUUUGACCAUUACUUUCAGCUUUGUGAUACACUUUCAAAGAGUCGGAUUGUUUGGGAAUGCAGUCCAAAAUGGGUGGUAAAUUUCAUCUAAAGCUAAAUAUUGGCGAGAGACCGAUAGCGAACAAGUACCGUGAGGGAAAGAUGAAAAGAACUUUGAAAAGAGAGUUAAACAGUACGUGAAAUUGUCAAAAGGGAAGCGUUUGACACCAGUGUUGUUUUUCUGAAAAUCAAUUAAAGAACUGUUUAUGCUAAGUUGUUUAGACUUUAUCAGCUAACUGUUUAGUUUUGAGCUUUUCUUUAAUGCACUUUUCAGUUAACAAGUCAACAUCAAUUUCUUUGCUGUAAAAAAGCUUGAGGAAGGUGGCUUGAGAUUCGUCUUAAGUGUUUAUAGCCUCUUGCCUAUGCAGUCGGAGAGAUUGAGGUCUGCAGCGUAGAUCCUUCGGGGCUAAAUGCAUUUGUGCUAAGUUAUAGCAUUUUAUAGACAACUUGUUGACUAUGAUUUGUCUUGUAGCUUACUCGCUUAUGUUAUUUUACCUACGCUUAGGAUGUUGAAGUCAUCGUAUCGCGC
rnacentral:rRNA from 1 species